rnacentral:rRNA from 1 species
UACGGAGGAUGCAAGCGUUAUCCGGAAUUAUUGGGCGUAAAGCGUCCGCAGGUGGCACUUCAAGUCUGUCGUCAAAGACCGGGGCUUAACCCUGGAAAGGCGAUGGAAACUGAAAGGCUAGAGAGAGGUAGGGGUAGAGGGAAUUCCCAGUGUAGCGGUGAAAUGCGUAGAUAUUGGGAAGAACACCGGUGGCGAAAGCGCCUUGCUGGGUCUGCACUGACACUGAGGGACGAAAGCUAGGGGAGCGAAAGGG